UACGAAGGGGGCUAGCGUUGUUCGGAUUUACUGGGCGUAAAGCGCACGUAGGCGGAUCAUUAAGUCAGGGGUGAAAUCCUGGAGCUCAACUCCAGAACUGCCUCUGAUACUGGUGAUCUUGAGUCCGGAAGAGGUGAGUGGAACUCCUAGUGUAGAGGUGGAAUUCGUAGAUAUUAGGAAGAACACCAGUGGCGAAGGCGGCUCACUGGUCCGGCACUGACGCUGAGGUGCGAAAGCGUGGGGAGCAAACAGGAUUAGAAACCCCGUAGUCC
rnacentral:rRNA from 1 species